rnacentral:sRNA from 1 species
UCGGAACCGAGACGAUGCGUGCGCUCCGCGACCGACCCGGGCUCCUCCUCUGCGUGCUGCUGCUGGCGGCGGCGCGAGGGCUCCCCGUGAAGAAGCCGCGGCUCCGCGGACCACGGCCUGGGAGCCUCACGAGGCUCGCAGAGGUCUCAGCCUCCCCAGAUCCUAGGCCUCUGAAGGAAGAGGAGGAGGCACCACUGCUCCCCAGAACCCACCUGCAGGCAGAGCCACACCAACAUGGACGCUGGACUGUCACUGAGCCAGCAGCCAUGACCCCAGGCAAUGCCACCCCUCCCAGGACCCCAGAGGUUACUCCGUUGCGGCUGGAGCUGCAGAAGCUGCCGGGAUUGGCCAACACAACCUUGAGUACCCCUAACCCUGAUACCCAGGCUUCAGCCUCCCCAGAUCCUAGGCCUCUGAGGGAAGAGGAGGAGGCACGACUGCUCCCCAGAACCCACCUGCAGGCAGAGCUACACCAACAUGGAUGUUGGACUGUCACUGAGCCAGCAGCCCUGACCCCAGGGAAUGCCACGCCUCCCAGGACCCAGGAGGUUACUCCCUUGCUGCUGGAGCUGCAGAAGCUGCCAGAAUUGGUCCACGCAACCUUGAGUACCCCUAACCCUGAUAACCAGGUGAGAGCUACAGAAGGGCCAGCAGCCCUGCAGACACCCGGAGAGGAGCGGGGCUGACAAGGUGGGCUCAGGAUACCCUACAUCCUGGAUUCCGUGGAGGGUGGGGCUGCUGUGUGGGGUCAGAGGGCAGGCUCCCCAUGCUCUCCCUGUGGUGUAGGGGGCAGAGGACCUGCCCCUCUACUUUCUAGCUGUGGGCCUUGGGCAAGUCUUUUGACUCUUUGAGCCUAUGUUCUCUAGACCAUGGCAAGAGACAAACAGCACCAACCCAGCAGGGCUAUGUGAGCACCAGUGAGUGGGAAAUGCUUUGUAGGCUACAAGGGAUUCCAGGAAUCUAAGGAGGCCUCCUGGAAAAGACCUGCAGGUCUGAUCCCCUAAAGAAGGGGUUCAGUAUGGAAUGGAGUAGGCUGGUGGCAUGGGGGACAGCCACCUGAAGGGCUUUAUAGGAGAGGAAAUUAGAGCAGCUGGCAGAAUUCUAGUUUCAGGCUCCACUGCCUGG